rnacentral:rRNA from 1 species
ACCGAAGCUGCGGCAGCGACGCUGAUGCGUUGUUGGGUAGGGGAGCGUUCUGUAAGCCUGCGAAGGUGACCUGUGAGGGUUGCUGGAGGUAUCAGAAGUGCGAAUGCUGACAUAAGUAACGAUAAAGCGGGUGAAAAGCCCGCUCGCCGGAAGACCAAGGGUUCCUGUCCAACGUUAAUCGGGGCAGGGUGAGUCGACCCCUAAGGCGAGGCCGAAAGGCGUAGUCGAUGGGAAACGGGUUAAUAUUCCCGUACUUGGUGUUACUGCGAAGGGGGGACGGAGAAGGCUAUGUUGGCCGGGCGACGGUUGUCCCGGUUUAAGCGUGUAGGUGUGUGUUCCAGGUAAAUCCGGUUCACUUUAACACUGAGGCGUGACGACGAGGCACUACGGUGCUGAAGCAACAAAUGCCCUGCUUCCAGGAAAAGCCUCUAAGCAUCAGGUAACAUCAAAUCGUACCCCAAACCGACACAGGUGGUCAGGUAGAGAAUACCAAGGCGCUUGAGAGAACUCGGGUGAAGGAACUAGGCAAAAUGGUGCCGUAACUUCGGGAGAAGGCACGCUGACACGUAGGUGAAGUGAUUUACUCAUGGAGCUGAAGUCAGUCGAAG